AGUCAAAUGACGCUAACGUGCAAAUCUGCUAUUAUAGCGGUUCGACUGUAUUUACAGUGGAAUGUUAGUUGGAAUCUCUGCAAUCAUUUUUUGUUUCGCAUUGGCCCUUGCAGGUACCCAGGCUACCACGAACGUAAAUAUCCUUACAACGUCACCAAACAGUACUGGCAGGUGAUCGCCGCAAGGCUGGCCUUCGUGUUUUUGUUUCAGUACAUCGUGUACGGCGUCACGAAGUUUGUGGCAUAUCUAGUGCCUGACCGGCCUAAGCUCCUUGAGCUGAAAAUCAAACGAGAAGAAUUUCUGGCCAAGGAGGCUCUUCUACAGAGGGAGGUGGAAGAGAUUGAUGCAAGUGUAGAAGUAGUGGCUUAGCAAGCUUCUUCACGCCGACAAUUUACUGAAUGGAACCGUCCCUCAAAGUUCCUGGAAUUUAAACCACUCUAAAACACCUGAAAGAACAGCCCGAAUUUUGUUUUGUUUAAAGUUCUUCGAUAACAUAAUAAUACAAAAAACAGGAUAACUGGUUCGUGUGAAAAAUUGUUGUACGCUUUUACGUUUACAUCGUUGUACUUACUUCGUUAGGUUGUUACGAUUUGUUACUUUAGGUAAACAUGCCUUUGAGAAUCAAACGGUUAUGACAUCGGCUCGUAAUUUGUUUCACUGGUUAGUAACCUGACUAAACAUGUGUCUCUCAGUUUCGUCAUUUUAAUUCUUUCUGGAAGAGAUUCAACCUGAAAAAUCCCAUGCUGAUGACGUUUGAUGACGUAUGGAAGGUAGAGUUUCUGAUUGGUCGUAACUCUGUUUAUUGUGGCGCGCUAAUAACAACCAAUCCAAACACUUCACAGAUCCCUUGGGCGCCAAGUCAUCAGGAUUUUUUUCUGAAUGUCAACAAAUAAACUCUCCCCAACGUUUGCCUUGCAUUUGUUAUAACAGCAGUUGUGAGAAUUAGAUCUAGAUUGAAUGUAAGAAUUAUAUCCGCUUAGUUAUCACUUACUAUGUCCUUACCUUAUAUGAAUAUAAUAUUUUUUUGAGUAAACAAAUGUUCUUUGUCUUUAUUAAAAGACAGUUUUUAGGGAAUACAUUUAUUCCGAAAAAGAUGUUAAUAAAUGCUCAGUAAGAUCCUAUAUUUAUCAA